ACCCAUCCUCACACGUCCUAAUAAACUCGCACAGUCCUAUACCUUAGAGUUACUAUAGAUCUUAAACCUAGCUCUAAUACCAUUUCUCUGUCACGCCCCAAACCCGAGGCAUAACAGACGCCGCAUAUCUACUAAAUAAGAUUUUCAUACAAUCGAAAUAUUUUUCUAAUUUAUCUUACGAAAAACUAACGGGUGUCCCACGAAUUCAGAGGAAGAACCUUCGAAAACGGAAGGCCUUAAAUUGAUCCAAAGCUACCAUCUCAGUUAAAAACUAAAUAAUUUAUUAAUUAAAACGAAACUAAACAAUAACUCCUAAAUGUCCAUAUAAUCAAUCUAAUGUCAAAAUAAAUCAUAUGUUCAAAAUUUGAAAUCUAUCUAACGAGUUCUCGCCAGCCAAUUAUCUCACACGCCCUGACUCUCGGUACCUGAAACAGUAGACAACAAAA
rnacentral:lncRNA from 1 species